rnacentral:rRNA from 1 species
UACGGAGGGUGCAAGCGUUAUCCGGAUUUACUGGGUUUAAAGGGUGCGUAGGUGGGUCUGUAAGUCAGUGGUGAAAUCUCCGGGCUUAACCCGGAAACUGCCAUUGAUACUAUAGAUCUUGAAUAUCCUGGAGGUGAGCGGAAUAUGUCAUGUAGCGGUGAAAUGCUUAGAUAUGAACAUAGAACACCAAUUGCGAAGGCAGCUCACUACGGGAUCAUUGACACUGAGGCACGAAAGCGUGGGGAUCAAACAGG